CAGUCUAAUACUUGUAUCAAAACAUGCUACUUAAACCAAAGCCGUGAAAGAUUGAUAUGAACUUAUACAAAGGACUCAAAUGAAAUUCGUAGAAGAUGUACAUAUUUCCAACAAAACAGAUGAACAAAUUGAGUCAAUGAAUCUCACAAAAACCAUUUGGGCCUGAAUUUGUGCCUUAAAGGCAAAAGAGCAGCCCCAAAUGUGACUUUCAAAAUGUUGCUUCUGUUGGUACUUAUCCAAGCCUAAACCAAACAUUUUAAUCCUCAAAAUUACGACUAGAAACAAAUUAAUUUCAAGGACAACCAUUUUUGUGCCUUAAACUUACUAAAACACACCCUUGAGCGCAUUAAUUGCAGUCCAGCAUGUGAAACAUAAGUUUCGAUUCAAGGUCUAGACUGUCCCAAUGUUACAUAAUUCCCAACAUUGAAUGAAAAACUUUACAUAGAAGAAAUCGUUCGUUUACUGUUAAAACUCAUGCCGUUGUUUGAAAAAAAUAUGCAAAAUGAUAAACUAAUCUAAUACUAAGCUAUUAUUGACUUGUAUAUCAAUAGGAAGACCCUUGCUCCUUUUGAACAUGACUUGUCCAUAGCAGCGCCAUCUUCCUUCCUUAACGUGUAGAUCCUACCCUCAAGCUUUCAAAACCAAUUGAUCCAGCCAACUAGUGGCUGAACAAACAGGUUAAGGCUCAUUGCCAAGUAAGAAAAGAAAAGUUAAGUAAGAGAAUCAGAUGGAGAAGAAAACAAAUACUACCUAGAGGAACAUGGUCAAUAGUACUAGAGUAAUGAACUAAGUUGCUUCAACGCAAAAUGAGUAGGAAAAACAACAAGGUCUCCAUAAGUCUAACCACAUUAAGGGUCAGCCUUAUAGACAAUAAUGAUCCUUAAAACCAUGAUUUAUUUCAUGGUUCUCAUUUCAGUAGAUGAGAAAUAGGGGAGGCGAGAUGUACAAAAAAUUCAGAUUGAUAUGCACCUUUAAAGGGUGUAUUUGACGACUUGAAGGGUCAGAUUCAUUUCCCUGUUAUGUUGCCAUUGGAAGUAAACUUUGGCCAUAAGUUUCACAAAUGCUUACAUAUACUAAUUUAGCAGAUGUAUUAUUGCAUAUGAAUUUAACACAGCCUUACAGACUUCAUGGUUUCAACCCAAGAAAACAUUAAGUCCAGAAAACAGUCAUGAUUCCCAAUCCAAUCUACCAAAGAUCAGCUAAACAAACAAGUUUCAGAUGCAAAUUUUUAAACACAGAAACUGGUUUUAUUCAAAAGGAGCAUUGUACAUACCUUGAAAUUGAAAAUAUGACUAAAGAAUGACCAACUAAAGGUCAAGAAAACCAGAAUUGAAAUGAAACCCAAACUUCAACAGUAGAAUAACAAACCAGGAAUGACAAAACUAGAAAGCUAGCUUAGGGAUAAAAAUGAAUUAACCAAAAACCAGCUUCAAACCAGAAGAUUCACCUAGAGAACUAGGAAAAUUAUCCAUCCAAACCAUGUUUUUACUUGCACAGAAUCAGAAAAAUGAAAAAAGGGUUUUUGAGUUUUUCCAGAAUUUUCUUAAAAUCUGAAAUUUUUAGAGAAAGGAAUGUUUUGCAGUAAUUUUUUGAUGGGAAAAUCUGUGUGUGAGUGAGGGAAUGUUUUCCUUUUAUAGAGUGAACAGCCAAAGGCAUCAAAAGGAAUAUUCUGACUUAAAUAUUGAAAUUCCAGAAUAGUACAACAUCUUUUUGACAGCUGUAUGUCCUUUUUCUUAUUCAAUAUCAGCAUGUUGCUAAUGAUAGGGACAUCUGUGCUAAAUACUAGAACUUUAUGAUUUUUAGCUAAGUGAAAACCCCUUUUUACCCCUUAGGUUAUCACUUAUUUCAGUUUUACUUAGGUUAUUUUAAUUCAAAAGGGUCCUUGAAUUUCCUACUUGUUCAACUAAACCUUAAAAGUCUUGAAGAAUUAAAGAAAUCAGACAAAUUUCUAAUUGGGAAAAGAGGGCCAAUUGAAUCAAAAGGCAUCACAAUUCUUUAUUCGGAACGCAUAUUCAACCAAAUACUCAACAAUGAAAAACUAUUUCAAUAGUAAAGGAAAGAAGAAUCAAAUGAUAAUAAACUAACUAUAAGAAACUGAAACCCUAAAGGAUAUUAAACCUGAUCUAAUCCAUUUUUAUUGACUAGACGAAACAAGGGAAGAAGAAAGAAAACAAAACACUUUAUAAUCUUAGAUUCAACCCUACUUGGUAAAACAAUUAAGAUUAAUCAGCAUGCUGAACAUGUUUCUUUUGAAACUAAUUCGUAACAUAUUCAGGGAAUCAACAAGCUGAAUGAACAAUGUGUUUAUGAAUAAAAUGCUAUUUACUCUACAAACUAAUUUAAUUAACUAGGUAUGAUUUCAAACGAACUAACAAAAUGAUUUUAAGACAUCAAAAUUUACUAAUUCAAACAACUAGAAGAGCAAUAAUAUUCAUAGGCCAAUUAGGAAUUGAUUUCUAAACAGGACUCAGAAAUUAUCCUCUAAAUCAAAGCUGACUCAACUUUUAAAAGGGGAAGAAUGGGAAAAGAUAGAAGAUAGGGAAAAGAGAAAAGAAAGAAAAGAAAAACCUAACAUGCUGUUAAAAACAAGAACAAUCAAGUAUGCAGAGAUCAAAAUUAAAUAAGAAAAAAUAAAAAGGGAAAGUGACUAAGAGACUGAAAUAAAACUGGUUCCAAACAUAAAUCUAAGACGAGUAUGAACUUUUAAUCAUGCUUUAAUUAAUAGGAACUUCAGAAAUUAAUCAACUAAACACAAGAAGGCAAACAAAAGAAUAAAAACCUAACAUGAUAUUAAAAAUAAAGGGAAAUCAAACAUGUAUAGAAGGGACAAAGUCAGACGAAAUUAAACAAUGGAAAAAAAAGAAAAGAGCUUACCAGAUCGAAAUCAAAGCUGGAUCCAACUAUGAACUAGUCCAAUCUUUCUGAUAUGUGAUAUGGACUUUAGACAAACAUUAAUAGACUAUUAUUAACAAGAAUAGUCGAUUAUUGAAGGUUUUAACUUCAUUCGACCAGAUACAACCUCCAAAAUUCAGAGAAGAAAAUUAGGGGUUUCUGGGGUCCUGAGAUUUGAGAUUCGAGAAUCUCAGGGCAUUCGUAAAGGGGUGAUAGUUGUUUGGGAUUCAAAUAGGGAAAAAGGUCAUAGGGUGUAUGUUUGAAGUGAUUUGUAGCGGUUAAAGUUUUUGGCCGAACUUUCGAUUUGAGAUUCGAACGGACCAGGAUCAAUUUCAAGGAAGUGGAAGGAAUAUUUGGAAUGGGGAGGGGGGUGCAUGGGAGUUCGUGGUGUAAAAAUGGGGUCGAUUCGACCAUCGAAAUUGCCGUAAGGCGAUUUCCGGUGGUUGUUCGCAGCGGAGGCGGCGUGGAAAAUGAGGUGGCUAGGGUUAUACAGGUGUGGGUGAGAGAUAGGAGAACUGAGUUGAAUUUUUGGUUUUGGGGGGUGGGUUGACCUAUUU
rnacentral:lncRNA from 1 species